rnacentral:pre_miRNA from 1 species
UGUCUUUUUCCGCUUUGCUGCCGCUGUUCUGUCGUCGCCAGCAGAGAGGAUGAGGCUAGU